UCCGGUUGAUCCUGCCGGAGGCCAUUGCUAUUGGGAUCCGAUUUAGCCAUGCUAGUCGUACGGGUUCAUACUCGUGGCGAAUAGCUCAGUAACACGUGGCCAAACUACCCUUCGGAGCACCAUACCCUCGGGAAACUGAGGUUAAUAGUGCAUACCAUACCACCACUGGAAUGAGUGGUAUGCCAAACGCUCCGGCGCCGAAGGAUGUGGCUGCGGCCGAUUAGGUAGACGGUGGGGUAACGGCCCACCGUGCCAAUAAUCGGUAUGGGUCAUGAGAGUGAGAACCCAGAGACGGAAUCUGAGACAAGAUUCCGGGCCCUACGGGGCGCAGCAGGCGCGAAACCUUUACACUGCACGACAGUGCGAUAGGGGGAUCCCAAGUGCACAGGCAUAGCGCCUGUGCUUUUCGGUACCCUAAGGCGGUACCAGAAUAAGGGCUGGGCAAGACCGGUGCCAGCCGCCGCGGUAAUACCGGCAGCCCGAGUGAUGGCCGAUCUUAUUGGGCCUAAAGCGUCCGUAGCUGGCCACGCAAGUCCAUCGGGAAAUCCACCUGCUCAACAGGUGGACGCCCGGUAGAAACUGCAUGGCUUGGGACCGGAAGGCGCGACGGGUACGUCCGGGGUAGGAGUGAAAUCCCGUAAUCCUGGACGGACCGCCGAUGGCGAAAGCACGUCGCGAGAACGGAUCCGACAGUGAGGGACGAAAGCCAGGGUCUCGAACCGGAUUAGAUACCCGGGUAGUCCUGGCCGUAAACAAUGUCUGCUAGGUGUGGCUCCCACUACGAGUGGGUGCUGUGCCGCAGGGAAGCCGCUAAGCAGACCGCCUGGGAAGUACGUCCGCAAGGAUGAAACUUAAAGGAAUUGGCGG
rnacentral:rRNA from 1 species